CUACUAAGUGAUAACUUUCAAAGUAAGAGGAAAAUCCGUCGACUUUAUAAAUCGUGAGGGUUCAAGUCCCUCUAUCCCCC
rnacentral:tRNA from 1 species